GAGCAGGGCGUAGCAAUACAUCAGCGGCAGACGGGUGAGUAACGCGUGGGAACGUACCUUUUGGUUCGGAACAACCCAGGGAAACUUGGGCUAAUACCGGUAUAAGCCCUGUACGGGGGAAAGAUUUAUCGCCGAAAGAUCGGCCCGCGUCUGAUUAGCUAGUUGGUGAGGUAAUGGCUCACCAAGGCGACGAUCAGUAGCUGGUCUGAGAGGAUGAUCAGCCACAUUGGGACUGAGACACGGCCCAAACUCCUACGGGAGGCAGCAGUGGGGAAUAUUGGACAAUGGGCGCAAGCCUGAUCCAGCCAUGCCGCGUGAGUGAUGAAGGCCCUAGGGUUGUAAAGCUCUUUUGUGCGGGAAGAUAAUGACGGUACCGCAAGAAUAAGCCCCGGCUAACUUCGUGCCAGCAGCCGCGGUAAU
rnacentral:rRNA from 1 species